AUUAAGUUUAUUUUUCAGUUUUUAGAUAUAAUAUUUUGACUUUUCGUCUUAUUUGAAAUUUUUUUGCGUUUAAUAUUUUUAUUGUUACUGGAUGGUAAAACAUGAAUAAUACUUUAUGUGUGAUUAAUUUCUUUUAAGUUUUUAUACAAUUUUUUUAAAAAUGACGAAUGGUCAAACUUUGAAUACAUAAAUCAAAAAAUAAAGUUAUU
rnacentral:pre_miRNA from 1 species